CGCGCCCGGUGCCCCAGCUGCGGCCACCGCCGCUGCCGAGACCCCCGCGGCCACCAGCUCCUCCGCUCAGGCCGCCGCCGCCGCUGGAGCUGGAGCUGGUGUUGUGAACCAUCUCUGCAGAACAGCGUCAUCGGAGGCACUGCUUCAAGCCCUUGGUGCCAUCAAAUGAGAAGCACACAUUGGCAAGAACCAGGAGGAGACAUGGAGACAUCCCUAACAAUCAAGGAUCUGCAGUGGGCUGGAGAGACAGCAUAAUGGUUAUGCUUAAAGACUUUCAUGCCAGAGACUCUAAGAUGCCAGGUUCAGUCCCCAGAACCACUGUAAACCAAAACUAAGCAGUGCUCUGGUGAAAUAAAUAAAUAAAAUUAAUUUAAUUUAAUUUAAAAAUAAAGGGUCUGCAGCAAAAGGAGUUUAAAUUAAAGACUUCUCAUCAUUGGUCCUAUGGA